rnacentral:misc_RNA from 3 species
AACGCACAUUGCGCCCCCUGGCAUUCCGGGGGGCAUGCCUGUCCGAGCGUCAUUUCUGCCCUCAAGCACGGCUUGUGUGUUGGGUGUGGUCCCCCCGGGGACCUGCCCGAAAGGCAGCGGCGACGUCCGUCUGGUCCUCGAGCGUAUGGGGCUCUGUCACUCGCUCGGGAAGGACCUGCGGGGGUUGGUCACCACUAUAUUUUACCACGGUUGACCUCGGAUCAGGUAGGAGUUACCCGCUGAACUUAA